CUGCCCAUCACUCUGGGACAAGCCCUGGAAACGGGGUCUAAUACCGGAUAUGAGCCUGGGAGGCAUCUCCUGGGUUGUAAAGCUCCGGCGGUGAAGGAUGAGCCCGCGGCCUAUCAGCUUGUUGGUGAGGUAAUGGCUCACCAAGGCGACGACGGGUAGCCGGCCUGAGAGGGCGACCGGCCACACUGGGACUGAGACACGGCCCAGACUCCUACGGGAGGCAGCAGUGGGGAAUAUUGCACAAUGGGCGAAAGCCUGAUGCAGCGACGCCGCGUGAGGGAUGACGGCCUUCGGGUUGUAAACCUCUUUCAGCAGGGAAGAAGCGCAAGUGACGGUACCUGCAGAAGAAGCGCCGGCUAACUACGUGCCAGCAGCCGCGGUAAUACGUAGGGCGCAAGCGUUGUCCGGAAUUAUUGGGCGUAAAGAGCUCGUAGGCGGCUUGUCACGUCGAUUGUGAAAGCCCGAGGCUUAACUUCGGGUCUGCAGUCGAUACGGGCUAGCUAGAGUGUGGUAGGGGAGAUCGGAAUUCCUGGUGUAGCGGUGAAAUGCGCAGAUAUCAGGAGGAACACCGGUGGCGAAGGCGGAUCUCUGGGCCAUUACUGACGCUGAGGAGCGAAAGCGUGGGGAGCGAACAGGAUUAGAUACCCUGGUAGUCCACGCCGUAAACGGUGGGAACUAGGUGUUGGCGACAUUCCACGUCGUCGGUGCCGCAGCUAACGCA
rnacentral:rRNA from 1 species